rnacentral:sRNA from 1 species
AAGGUUCGAUUCGAGCGAAAGCGAGAAAGCGUUGCCGCAGGCAACGGCCCGAAGGGCGAAGCGCGCAGCGCUGAGUCAUCCUUCCCCCACCACCA